CUCUCCCUUUAAGAAUAGAGAUAUAUUGUUGAAUAUGACGAAGGGAGACCGGGCUGUCCUGCUUAUGAUGAUUACCCUCGCAUGCGCCGCAGUACUUUCAGAGUGUCGAACAAUCGGUCAGAUGGAUGGGAGCAAGCUCCAGAUGUGCAUAUGCCCGGAGAUCCCUUCGCCCAGCUGCCCGAAUAAUGUGUGUUACUGUUGUUCGCACGUAAAGGGAGAGCCUUGCUUUCCGACGAGACCGCAGUGCGUGGUGGGCUGUGGCUGCCAGCCCCCUGCCUCCGCGCUCCCCUGACGCCUUGGCAUGGCCAUGGGCAAUGUAUUUGGAUUUGGAUUACUGUGGGGAAUGAUGUAUGUGAUGACAAUCGUGAUUUGAAAUAAAAAUGAUGAGAUGUAAUCAUCUUACACAA